UACGUAGGGUGCAAGCGUUGUCCGGAAUUAUUGGGCGUAAAGAGCUCGUAGGCGGUUUGUCGCGUCUGCUGUGAAAACUCAGGGCUUAACUCUGCGCUUGCAGUGGGUACGGGCAGGCUAGAGUUCGGUAGGGGAGACUGGAAUUCCUGGUGUAGCGGUGAAAUGCGCAGAUAUCAGGAGGAACACCGAUGGCGAAGGCAGGUCUCUGGGCCGAUACUGACGCUGAGGAGCGAAAGCGUGGGGAGCGAACAGG
rnacentral:rRNA from 1 species